GGUCAAGCUACAAAGGGCGCAUGGUGAAUGCCUUGGCAUCAGGAGCCGAUGAAGGACGUGAUAAGCUGCGAUAAGCUUCGGGUAGGCGCACAUAGCCUGAGAUCCGAAGAUCUCCGAAUGAGGAAACUCACAUGGGAAACCCCAUGUAUCAUUAAGUGAAUACAUAGCUUAAUGAAGGUAACCCAGGGAACUGAAACAUCUAAGUACCUGGAGGAAGAGAAAGAAAAAUCGAUUUUCUUAGUAGCGGCGAGCGAAAGGGAAAGAGCCCAAACCGGAAACUUGUUUCCGGGGUUGUGGACAUGACAUAAAAGUGGAGGCUAUUGUAAUUGAAGAGAACUGGAAAGUUCCACCGUAGAAGGUAAUAGUCCUGUAAGUGAAACGAGAAGACCACGAGUUAUGAUCCAGAGUACCACGAGACACGUGAAACCUUGUGGGAAGCAGGGAGGACCACCUCCCAAGGCUAAAUACUACCUGAUGACCGAUAGUGAAGCAGUACCGUGAGGGAAAGGUGAAAAGAACCCCGGGAGGGGAGUGAAAUAGAACCUGAAACCGUGUGCCUACAACCGCUCAGAGCCCCUUAUGAGGGUGAUGAGGUGCUUUUUGUAGAACGAGCCAACGAGUUACGGUAUGUAGCAAGGUUAAGUACUUAAGGUACGGAGCCGAAGGGAAACCGAGUCUGAAUAGGGCGACUAGUUGCAUGCCGUAGACCCGAAACCGGGUGACCUAUCCAUGGCCAGGUUGAAGCGAGGGUAAAACCUCGUGGAGGACCGAACCACGUUGCUGUUGAAAAAGCAUGGGAUGAGCUGUGGAUAGCGGAGAAAUUCCAAUCGAACCCGGAGAUAGCUGGUUCUCUCCGAAAUAGCUUUAGGGCUAGCGUCGAGUAUGAGUAGUGGAGGUAGAGCACUGAAUGGGCUAGGGGGCAUAGCGCUUACCGAACCUUAUCAAACUCCGAAUGCCACAUACUUUGAGCUCGGCAGUCAGACUACGAAUGAUAAGAUCCGUGGUCAAAAGGGAAACAGCCCAGAUCGUCAGCUAAGGUCCCAAAGUGUAAGUUAAGUGGGAAAGGAUGUGAGAUUUCUAAGACAACUAGGAUGUUGGCUUAGAAGCAGCCAUUCAUUAAAAGAGUGCGUAAUAGCUCACUAGUCGAGAGAUCUUGCGCCGAAAAUGUAACGGGGCUAAACUUACCACCGAAGCUACGGGCUUGAACUUAGUUCAAGCGGUAGGAGAGCGUCGUAACCGGGCUGAAGUCGUACCGUAAGGAGCGGUGGACUGGUUACGAGUGAGAAUGUUGGCAUCAGUAGCGAGAUGUGGGUGAGAAUCCCACAGGCCGAAAACCUAAGGUUUCCUCAGGAAGGUUCGUCCGCUGAGGGUUAGUCGGGACCUAAGCCGAGGCCGAAAGGCGUAGGUGAUGGACAACUGGUUGAUAUUCCAGUACCACUACCAUCGUUAUUAUCGAUGGCGUGACGCAGGAGGAUAGUGUGUGCUAGCUAUUGGAUGCUAGUCUAAGCGUUUAGGCAGUGAGAGUAGGCAAAUCCGCUCUCAUAAUGCUGAGGCGUGAUGGGGAAGGUUCUACGGAACCGAAGUACAUGAUUCCACGCUGCCAAGAAAAGCGUCUAGAGAGAGAAGUAGUGCCCGUACCGCAAACCGACACAGGUAGGUGAGGAGAGAAUCCUAAGGCCGGCGGAAGAAUUACAGUUAAGGAACUCGGCAAAUUGACCCCGUAAGUUCGCGAGAAGGGGUGCCUACGAGAGUAGGCCGCAGAGAAUAGGCCCAAGCAACUGUUUAGCAAAAACACAGGUCUCUGCUAAAGCGUAAGCUGAUGUAUAGGGGCUGACGCCUGCCCGGUGCUGGAAGGUUAAGGGGAACACUUAGCGCAAGCGAAGGUGUGAACUUAAGCCCCAGUAAACGGCGGCCGUAACUAUAACGGUCCUAAGGUAGCGAAAUUCCUUGUCAGGUAAGUUCUGACCCGCACGAAUGGCGUAAUGACUUGGGCACUGUCUCAACUGUAAAUCCGGCGAAGUUGUAGUGCGAGUGAAGAUGCUCGCUACCCGCGAUUGGACGGAAAGACCCCGUAGAGCUUUACUGUAGCUUAGCAUUGAGUUUUGGUAUUGUCUGUACAGGAUAGGUGGGAGACUAGGAAACCAGGGCGUCAGCCUUGGUGGAGUCAACCUUGGGAUACCACCCUGACAGUACUGAAAUUCUAACUGGCGGCCAUGAAUCUGGUCACAGGACAUUGUUAGGUGGGCAGUUUGACUGGGGCGGUCGCCUCCUAAAAAGUAACGGAGGCGCCCAAAGGUUCCCUCAGAACGGUCGGAAAUCGUUCGAAGAGUGCAAAGGCAGAAGGGAGCCUGACUGCGACACCCACAAGUGGAGCAGGGACGAAAGUCGGGCUUAGUGAUCCGGUGGUACCUCGUGGGAGGGCCAUCGCUCAACGGAUAAAAGCUACCUCGGGGAUAACAGGCUGAUCUCCCCCAAGAGUCCACAUCGACGGGGAGGUUUGGCACCUCGAUGUCGGCUCGUCGCAUCCUGGGGCUGAAGUAGGUCCCAAGGGUUGGGCUGUUCGCCCAUUAAAGCGGCACGCGAGCUGGGUUCAGAACGUCGUGAGACAGUUCGGUCCCUAUCCGUCGCGGGCGUAGGAAAUUUGAGAGGAGCUGUCCUUAGUACGAGAGGACCGGGAUGGACUGACCUCUGGUGUACCAGUUGUUCCGCCAGGAGCACAGCUGGGUAGCUAAGUCGGGAAUGGAUAAACGCUGAAAGCAUCUAAGCGUGAAGCCAACCUCAAGAUGAGAUUUCCCAUAGCGUAAGCUAGUAAGAUCCCUUGAAGAACACAAGGUUGAUAGGUCGGGGGUGUAAGCAUGGUAACAUGUUCAGCUGACCGAUACUAAUAGAUCGAGGGCUUGACCAA
rnacentral:rRNA from 1 species